rnacentral:lncRNA from 1 species
GCUUAACUGCUCAAGUACUUGAACAUAAAAUAAAGUUAACUGUUUAACAGUUACCAACAUUAACAUCCAACAAAUACAGCAUAAAACAAAUACAGCAACAUCCAAGUUGCGAACAUCCAACAUCAACAUCCAACAUCCAACAUAAUCAUUAACUAUUACAGCAACAAGCAAGCCAACAAGGCAACAAAUAUAGCACUCAGCAGCAAAUUAACUGUUACAGCAGCAGCAAAGCAAUACAGCAUGACUCCAGUCACUCCAUGGGAUUACUAGCAACAAGCAAAUCAAUUGUCAUUGGAUCAAUUCAAGGCUAUUUAUAGAAAACUAUGCAAAUGAGCAAAUCAAAGAAAACAGAAUAUAAAUAUGACACUAGUGAAACUAAAAGUAUCACAGAAAACUAUUGUAGAAGUAUACACUAGUCUAAAACUAGUGUAAAAGUAUACACUAGUCUAGCAUGAAUGAGGAGUGAUACAGCCAGGAAGGGCAUGUUCUCCUACUUUACAGUUGGUAUGUCAUUGGAGAAAUUCUUGCAUACUGAAGACUACUAGUAACUUCUUUACAAAACAUACAUAUUUUGAGCUUAUACUGCAAAAAUUGAUAGCAAUCAACUAUUUAUUUAGGACAAGACCUUUAUGUAUGAUAUGGCACAUCAAGCAACACAAAAAUAUCAACCAAAAACACCUACAGGAACUUAUUGAGAGGCUUGAACUCUAAUGGUUAUCCAUUGUGAGUCGCAAAAGCAUCGGUUUGCAGGAAAAUAAGGAUCAAUUAGUACUGAUUUUAACAUAUACCUCUCUCUUUUGGAAGAAUCAAAUGAUUACCCACAUUAGAAAUCAUAACCCUAAGUCCUAACUAACAAAAUCAGAUCGAAUCAAAUGAUUACCCACCUUAGAAAUCAUAACCCUAAGUCCUAACUAACAAAACAAAUAUACCAGUAAACCACAGAGGCACAGAGGCGUAAGAGAGCACUGGGCAGAGGCCGUCGGCCGAGGCGGAGGCUGGAGAGAGGCGGAGGCUGGAGAGGGAUUAGUCGACUGUCGAGAAAGAGGCAAGCAAUUGAAGCAAUCAAGCAAAGCAAAGAGUGAAGAACUGAAGAUAAGGGCUACUGGGCUAGGGCAAAAUGGGAUCUGAACUCUGAAGACUGAAAUGUCAAAUGUGAAGUGAAAGUGAAAAUGGACCGUCGACUGAAAUUAU